GUCUGGCUAGUUCCUGCUUUCUAGCAGAUUGGGCGCGUCUUCGUAGUAUCUACCUUGACUUCUACUUUAUGUGGAGCCCUGACGCCUCACUCAACGGCUGACCUAUGCUGUUUUAGGCCCAGCUCCACCUCGCUCCCGGCCUCAGUUUCACCAUUCGUUAUAUGGCGCUAUAGUGGAGUCGUUUCCUAUGUAUUCUUCCUUGGCUCCGGGCGGAGAGGGGGCGAUUUUGGAGGCCGAAGCCAGGAAGAGCAGAGCCUGAGUCGGGGCUCAGAGCACCACAAGUCCAAGACUGCUGGGAUACCCCAGCUGUCACAAGCCACUCUGAUUCCUCAGCUUGCAGCCACAUCGCUGACCUCUGCUUCAUCUCCUCACCUCCGUCUGUCACUGUGACUGUUUGUUUUUGGUUUUUUUGGUGCCGGGAAUUGAACUAAGGACCUUGCACUUGCCAGGCAGGCAUUUGUGCCGCUGAGCUAUAUCCCUGCCCGGGACUGUGACUCUGAUCCCUCUGAGCCUCUUGAAAGGGUCUUAAAAGACUUGGGCCUACCCGGAAAUCAGGCUGGUCUCCCAUCUCAGGGCCUGUAAUCAAGUUAACAAAAUCUGGGAAAUUAGAACAUGGGCAUCUGCUACAAUCUAUGUAAUUAUGUUUCUCAUUGUGUGAUACAAUGUGCCAUUGUAUGAUACAUUUCUUAUAUGUGAAUACAUAAAUAAUACACUGGUGGCCUUGAUGAACUCACCCAUGUACCUUGGAAAAGCCAUCAACCAGGGCUGGGGAUAUAGCUCAGUGGCACAGAGGCUGCCUGGCAAACACAAGAUUGUGAGUUCAUCCUUGAUAGAAACCAAAAAAAGCUGUCAACUUUACAAUGACUUGUAAAAAGUGUGACUGUAAAACUUCUCAUCUGCAGUGAGACAUUCAGAGCAAAAGGCAGUUCCAUUAAUAAUCACACAAGCCAGGCAUGGUAGCUCAUGUCUGCAAUCCCAGGCACUUGAGAGGCUGAGGCAGGAGGGUCAUAAGUUUGAGGCCAGCCUGGGCAAUUCAGCAAGAAAAAACAAAAGUGGCUUAGUGAUAGAACACUUACCUAUCAUGUGCAAUGCCCUGGGUUCAAUUCCUGACAUUGCCAAUAAACAGAGUCCUGUGAUGAGUGUGGUUGGAUAGACGUGGACAGAUCAAGAAGCCAAGGCUCAUGGGGUACGCUCCACAGGGGCUAGGGAUUACAGAGGUGCCGACCACCUUUGGGCCCUGGCAGAGAGGAGCUUGUACCUACAACCUAUGUGCGAAUCUAGUGGGGGCCCAAGGGUUACCCAUGGCUCAGCACAUGUGAACCCUUGGGGACCCGUGGAUUAUACCAGCGCCUGCACAAAGAUUUCAGGGCCUGUUCAGAAGCACUGAGCACAUAAGGGUGUAGAGGAAUAGACUGGCUCUCGGGGAACCCUGGAGGUGUGUGCAAGAGACUCCCACACCCCUGGGCCCUGGUGCUGACGGGGACACAAACCUUGCCCGAGGAGCCCAGAGUGGGUGAGCUUGGGGGAUGUGGACAAAGAGGUGAAUCUGGGCCAGCAAGUCCAAAAUCUUCCCUUCUUUGCCUCCACCUGGACAACAUGCCCCCAGUUUUCCUCUAAGUCCUCAGCAAGAUUGUACCCCCCCCUUCCAGCCUACCUCCACUGCACUGCACUGCCUCUGUCCCUCUCAGCAUCUCUCUCCUGCUGUGCCAUGUUCUUCUGCUCCCAUCUCUGCCCGGCUGUGACUGCCAGAUCUGCAUCCCAUUCCACAGUCUCCCUUUCUGUAUCCUAUUGUCUUUCAUAUUGCUCAAAUUAAUUAGAUUUUUUUUUUUUUUUUUUGGUCUUUUUGAGACAGAGUCUCACUAUGUGGUUCAGACUGGCCUGUGGUUAAGCUCCCUUUGUAGCCCAGGAUGGUCUCAAAUUCAUAGCAAUCCUCCUGCCUCAGCCUCCCAAGUGCUGGGAUUACAGGCAUGCACCUGGCUUAAAUUAUUUAGAAAUUUAUUAAGAUAUUAAAAACAUAUUACUUUUA